GGGGAGGCAUAGCCAAUGGAUCGACGUGGGGGUGAAUCCAUAAUAUUUGAAUUGCCAUCUCAAAAUUGUGCCACCAUAACUAUCCAUGGCCCAUACAUUUGUAAACCAGCAAGCACAGCCACUCUUUGCACUCUACAUUUUUAGUUUGUGGAGCUAAAAGAAGGUGAAUAGUGAAACCAUGUAUGAUCUCUUUUGAUAAGUGACUACUGCAUGUACUGCUGAAGCGUACUGUCUCCUUUCUGUUUCCAGUUGAUGGAUGUAACUUGUGCGCUGCAUACUCUUUGUAGUCCAAUGGACCAAUAGUUGCGAGUUGGUAAGUUCUUUAAUGAAUCAGCAAAGCAGAUUAAUUUGAAAUUUUCUUUGCAAUUACCUAAAGUUUGGUUAUAGGUUCUGGGUGACCGGACAUCGGAUGACCAUGGGUUUCAGGUUUUAGCCAGGGCUUGCCUUUUGUAAUCCAGCAUUAUAAUUAUAAAUGUGGCUUGUUUCAGUAGUAUUAUUUUUGUUUGCGUAAUAGGAAGACUUGCCUUAUGCUAUUAUGGUAGUCAAAUUAAACUUGUGUUAGGUUGAGCAAGUUGAGUGUGUAUUUAUGGGCUACACAACUUGGAAAAUCAUCUUCGAUUGUUACAUUCAAACAUUUUCAACGAUGACAAUUAUGUCUAUUGCAUUGUGAAAAUAAAAAAGCUCCUUGAGUUGUCAACU